rnacentral:rRNA from 1 species
CCCCCGGCUCAACCGGGGAGGGUCAUUGGAAACUGGGGAACUUGAGUGCAGAAGAGGAGAGUGGAAUUCCACGUGUAGCGGUGAAAUGCGUAGAGAUGUGGAGGAACACCAGUGGCGAAGGCGACUCUCUGGUCUGUAACUGACGCUGAGGAGCGAAAGCGUGGGGAGCGAACAGGAUUAGAUACCCUGGUAGUCCACGCCGUAAACGAUGAGUGCUAAGUGUUAGGGGGUUUCCGCCCCUUAGUGCUGCAGCUAACGCAUUAAGCACUCCGCCUGGGGAGUACGGUCGCAAGACUGAAACUCAAAGGAAUUGACGGGGGCCCGCACAAGCGGUGGAGCAUGUGGUUUAAUUCGAAGCAACGCGAAGAACCUUACCAGGUCUUGACAUCCUCUGACAAUCCUAGAGAUAGGACGUCCCCUUCGGGGGCAGAGUGACAGGUGGUGCAUGGUUGUCGUCAGCUCGUGUCGUGAGAUGUUGGGUUAAGUCCCGCAACGAGCGCAACCCUUGAUCUUAGUUGCCAGCAUUCAGUUGGGCACUCUAAGGUGACUGCCGGUGACAAACCGGAGGAAGGUGGGGAUGACGUCAAAUCAUCAUGCCCCUU